AGGACGAACGCUGGCGGCGUGCUUAACACAUGCAAGUCGAGCGGUAAGGCCUUUCGGGGUACACGAGCGGCGAACGGGUGAGUAACACGUGGGUGAUCUGCCCUGCACUCUGGGAUAAGCCUGGGAAACUGGGUCUAAUACCGGAUAUGACCUGCUCUCGCAUGGGGGUGGGUGGAAAGAUUUAUCGGUGCAGGGAUGGGCCCGCGGCCUAGUCAGCUUGGUUGGUGGGGUAAUGGCCUACCAAGGCGACGACGGGUAGCCGACCUGAGAGGUGACCGCCACACUGGGACUGAGACACGGCCCAGACUCCUACGGGAGGCAGCAGUGGGAAUAUGCACAAGUGGACGAAGCUGAUGCAGCGACGCCGCGUGAGGA
rnacentral:rRNA from 1 species